GUUGUCAUGGUAACGGUGGGGUUCUGACUCAACCCCAUCCCCUCUUGCCCCACCCUAGCAUCACCUGGGAGUCCUUAAUCCCUUUUUAAUUAGCCAAACUGCCCCUCAAGACUUUACUCUACCCUCCAGCUCCUCCAGCCCCUCCAGCCCAGAAGAAAACACUGCCUGGGGACCUCCUCCACUUAUCCCUGGCAAGCCUCUGGACCCUGGCCUCUCACCACCAAAGAACUCCUGCCUGAACAGGAAAGGAAUUACGUUUGCCUGCACCAGCGUGGAAGCCUGUGUGUGUCUCCGGCAGACGCAGGGCCUCCAUCCUCACCACUUUCUUCAGAGAGGAACCAGAAGGACUGGGUCCGUGCUCAGCCUUGGCUCCCCAGAGCACCACCACCCCAGGUCCAUCCUCCCCUCCUCUCCAAAAGAGACCUGGAGAGCCAAGAGCCAGCCGCUCCAGCUCCUGAUCCUUGGGAAAAACCCGCCCAACCAUCCCCUCGGCCUCAGCCCUGAGGAGGGCCGCUGCUGCAGUCUUGUCUGUGGACAGGGUGGGGACGCUUCCUCCAGCUAAAAGGUCAGGAGGAUGAAGCAGACGACGGUGCGACUCUGAAACCCACUCCCCAGCCGGCACAGUGCUCAGACAGGCAGAUGGAUGGACAGAUGGACAGACAGCUGCCAGCUGGGAGGCCAGGUCCCUGCAAAUGCUGCCCUCCACACGAGAGGGACACCCACCCCUCAGGGCAGAAGCUGCCGGAAUUCUGCUCCUCCCUCAGCUGCUCUCCCCUCCUGCCCAGUGAUGUCCCCCGAGUCCUCAGAGGAGUCAUCCAGAGCUUUCUCAGCACUUCCGGGGGCAGGUGGGCACUGUGGGCUCCCCGACAGCCUGGCUCCAGUUCACUCCUCCCUCCUCAGACAGGGCUGUUGGCAACCGAGAGUGGACGGAGGUCAGCCCCGAUCAGCCCGAUCGGGGCCGCCGCAAUCUCCACGCUGGUCCCUCAAUCUGCGCCUCAGAAGCCUCAGUUGGAAAGACAAUCACACAGUAACUCCUGUGACUUACGAGCCCCUUUGAGGAAGUGACUGGCUGCUUUAGGCCUCAGUUUCUUCACCAGUAAAAGAGGGUUACUACCACCCGCAUUUCCAAACAGA